GGAAAGAACUCUGACUACCUAGAGGAAACUUAUAUGCACACAGGAAGAACAUGCAAGCACCAAAGUUAUUUCUCAGAAGCAGUUAAUUCCCAGAAGACUUGAGGAAAGGACUCUAAUGUCAGGAAUGGAGCACAGAUUCUCUGCUGUAUG